CUCUCUGNGNUUNUCNGNAGNGUGCUACAUGGACAGACAAGGGCAGCGAACCGCGAGGUUAAGCCAAUCCCACAAAUCUGGUUCUCAGUUCGGAUCGCAGUCUGCAACUCGACUGCGUGAAGCUGGAAUCGCUAGUAAUCGCGGAUCAGCAUGCCGCGGUGAAUACGUUCCCGGGCCUUGUACACACCGCCCGUCACACCACGAGAGUUUGUAACACCCGAAGUCGGUGGAGGUAACCUUUUAGGAGCCAGCCGCCNAAGGUGGGACAGAUGAUUGGGGUGAAAUCGUAACAAGGUAGCCCNUUCGGAAAGGGUGCGGUUGGGAUCCACCUCCUAAAA
rnacentral:rRNA from 1 species